GACGAACGCUGGCGGCGUGCCUAAUACAUGCAAGUCGAGCGCAGGAAACUGACGGAACUCUUCGGAGGGAAGGCAGCGGAAUGAGCGGCGGACGGGUGAGUAACACGUAAGGAACCUGCCUCAAGGAUUGGGAUAACUCCGAGAAAUCGGAGCUAAUACCGGAUAGUUCAACGGACCGCAGGGUCCGCUGAUGAAAGGCGCUUCGGCGUCACCUUGAGCUGGCCUUGCGGUGCAUUAGCUAGUUGGGGGGGUAACGGCCCACCAAGGCGACGGUGCAGAGCCGACCUGCGAGGGUGAUCGGCCACACUGGGACUGAGACACGGCCCAGACUCCUACGGGAGGCAGCAGUAGGGAAUCUUCCACAAUGGACGAAAGUCUGAUGGAGCAACGCCGCGUGAGUGAUGAAGGUUUUCGGAUCGUAAAACUCUGUUGUAAGGGAAGAACACGUACGAGAGGAAAUGCUCGUACCUUGACGGUACCUUACGAGAAAGCCACGGCUAACUACGUGCCAGCCGCCGCGGUAAAAC
rnacentral:rRNA from 1 species